rnacentral:rRNA from 1 species
UACGAAGGGGGCUAGCGUUGCUCGGAAUCACUGGGCGUAAAGCGCACGUAGGCGGAUCUUUAAGUCAGGGGUGAAAUCCUGGAGCUCAACUCCAGAACUGCCUUUGAUACUGAGGAUCUUGAGUCCGGGAGAGGUGAGUGGAACUCCGAGUGUAGAGGUGAAAUUCGUAGAUAUUCGCAAGAACACCAGUGGCGAAGGCGGCUCACUGGCCCGGUACUGACGCUGAGGCACGAAAGCGUGGGGAGCAAACAGG